GACGAACGCUGGCGGCGUGCUUAACACAUGCAAGUCGAACGGAAAGGCCCUGCUUUUGUGGGGUGCUCGAGUGGCGAACGGGUGAGUAACACGUGAGUAACCUGCCCUUGACUUUGGGAUAACUUCAGGAAACUGGGGCUAAUACCGGAUAGGAGCUCCUGCUGCAUGGUGGGGGUUGGAAAGUUUCGGCGGUUGGGGAUGGACUCGCGGCUUAUCAGCUUGUUGGUGGGGUAGUGGCUUACCAAGGCUUUGACGGGUAGCCGGCCUGAGAGGGUGGCCGGCCACAUUGGGACUGAGAUACGGCCCAGACUCCCACGGGAGGCAGCAGUGGGGAAUAUUGCACAAUGGGCGGAAGCCUGAUGCAGCAACGCCGCGUGCGGGAUGACGGCCUUCGGGUUGUAAACCGCUUUCGCCUGUGACGAAGCGUGAGUGACGGUAAUGGGUAAAGAAGCACCGGCUAACUACGUGCCAGCAGCCGCGGUGAUACGUAGGGUGCGAGCGUUGUCCGGAUUUAUUGGGCGUAAAGGGCUCGUAGGUGGUUGAUCGCGUCGGAAGUGUAAUCUUGGGGCUUAACCCUGAGCGUGCUUUCGAUACGGGUUGACUUGAGGAAGGUAGGGGAGAAUGGAAUUCCUGGUGGAGCGGUGGAAUGCGCAGAUAUCAGGAGGAACACCAGUGGCGAAGGCGGUUCUCUGGGCCUUUCCUGACGCUGAGGAGCGAAAGCGUGGGGAGCGAACAGGCUUAGAUACCCUGGUAGUCCACGCUGUAAACGGUGGGUACUAGGUGUGGGGUCCAUUCCACGGGUUCCGUGCCGUAGCUAACGCUUUAAGUACCCCGCCUGGGGAGUACGGCCGCAAGGCUAAAACUCAAAGGAAUUGACGGGGCCCCGCACAAGCGGCGGAGCAUGCGGAUUAAUUCGAUGCAACGCGUAGAACCUUACCUGGGUUUGACAUGGAUCGGGAGUGCUCAGAGAUGGGUGUGCCUCUUUUGGGGUCGGUUCACAGGUGGUGCAUGGCUGUCGUCAGCUCGUGUCGUGAGAUGUUGGGUUAAGUCCCGCAACGAGCGCAACCCUUGUUCACUGUUGCCAGCACGUUAUGGUGGGGACUCAGUGGAGACCGCCGGGGUCAACUCGGAGGAAGGUGGGGAUGACGUCAAGUCAUCAUGCCCCUUAUGUCCAGGGCUUCACGCAUGCUACAAUGGCUGGUACAGAGAGUGGCGAGCCUGUGAGGGUGAGCGAAUCUCGGAAAGCCGGUCUCAGUUCGGAUUGGGGUCUGCAACUCGACCUCAUGAAGUCGGAGUCGCUAGUAAUCGCAGAUCAGCAACGCUGCGGUGAAUACGUUCCCGGG
rnacentral:rRNA from 1 species